rnacentral:sRNA from 1 species
GAUUUUCAGUUUCAAAUUGCUCUGAGAAAUGAAUUUUGAGACGUUUAUGUAUUAUGAAUUGGGUUUUGAAUUUCAGUCAGAGAAAUGAAUUUUCAUGAGAAUUUUUGGUUGCUAGGAGUUUAGGUGAAUUUAGUAAAAGCUGCUUGAAGCUGGCAUCCCUAAGUUUCCAUUUUUUGUUGGAUUACCAUUGUGAAAGAAGUUAACUUUGGAUGCACAUGUAAGUAUGAAUUACACUGGAGGAAAUUGGCGGUGAGUGAUCGAAAUUCCCAAGGGAAAUGGGAGUUAUGAACUAGAUUCGUAUGAGUAUUCGUAUUCGGGUUGUUCUAAGUUUGAGUUCAUGUUCAUGAGCUUGAUGUCGGCACAUUUUCCGUAUAAGAACACUUGAAAGGUUUGGUUUUGGUGGUGUUGUUUGAAGCUGUAUCAAUAAAUUU